AACUCUGGUAUUGAUUGGUGCUUGCAUCAUGAUUUACAUUUCAGUUAGUGGCGAACUGGUGAGUAACACGUGGGAAACCUGCCCCCUAACGGGGGAUAACACCUGGAAACAGAUGCUAAUACCGCAUAACAACUUGGACCGCAUGGUCCGAGCUUGAAAGAUGGCUUCGGCUAUCACUUUUGGAUGGUCCCGCGGCGUAUUAGCUAGAUGGUGGGGUAACGGCUCACCAUGGCAAUGAUACGUAGCCGACCUGAGAGGGUAAUCGGCCACAUUGGGACUGAGACACGGCCCAAACUCCUACGGGAGGCAGCAGUAGGGAAUCUUCCACAAUGGACGAAAGUCUGAUGGAGCAACGCCGCGUGAGUGAAGAAGGGUUUCGGCUCGUAAAACUCUGUUGUUAAAGAAGAACAUAUCUGAGAGUAACUGUUCAGGUAUUGACGGUAUUUAACCAGAAAGCCACGGCUAACUACGUGCCAGCAGCCGCGGUAAUACGUAGGUGGCAAGCGUUGUCCGGAUUUAUUGGGCGUAAAGCGAGCGCAGGCGGUUUUUUAAGUCUGAUGUGAAAGCCUUCGGCUCAACCGAAGAAGUGCAUCGGAAACUGGGAAACUUGAGUGCAGAAGAGGACAGUGGAACUCCAUGUGUAGCGGUGAAAUGCGUAGAUAUAUGGAAGAACACCAGUGGCGAAGGCGGCUGUCUGGUCUGUAACUGACGCUGAGGCUCGAAAGUAUGGGUAGCAAACAGGAUUAGAUACCCUGGUAGUCCAUACCGUAAACGAUGAAUGCUAAGUGUUGGAGGGUUUCCGCCCUUCAGUGCUGCAGCUAACGCAUUAAGCAUUCCGCCUGGGGAGUACGGCCGCAAGGCUGAAACUCA
rnacentral:rRNA from 1 species